CCUACGGGGGGCAGCAGUGAGGAAUAUUGGUCAAUGGACGGAAGUCUGAACCAGCCAAGUCGCGUGCAGGAUGACGGUCCUAUGGGUUGUAAACUGCUUUUGCCUGGGGGCAAAGAUAGGGACGUGUCCCUCUUUGCAGGUACCAUACGAAUAAGGACCGGCUAAUUCCGUGCCAGCAGCCGCGGUAAUACGGAGGGUCCAGGCGUUAUCCGGAUUUAUUGGGUUUAAAGGGAGCGUAGGCUGGGGGUUAAGUGUGUUGUGAAAUGUAGACGCUCAACGCCUGC
rnacentral:rRNA from 1 species